CCAUCACAAAUCAGGAGCUCUUAACGCUGUGACCAAAGAUUGAAGUUCUCCAUAGAUGGGAUGUAAUAGUCACUCAAUAGUGCUAUGUUUUCCUGAGGCGAUAUAAGA
rnacentral:snoRNA from 1 species